AAGCAGCCAAUUAAUCUGCUUAGCUGAAUGUUUCUGCAGAAAUUUAGAAAGAGCUAGCCACAGUGAUGCCAUUUAGUGAGACUUAGGGACAACUGAGGUCAUUAAGGUGCCUGUAAAUGGCUACAAUA